rnacentral:rRNA from 1 species
UAUCUCUGUAGAGUCUGCAUAUCAAUAAGCGGAGGAAAAGAAACUAACAAGGAUUCCCCUAGUAACGGCGAGUGAAGCGGGAAGAGCUCAAAUUUGAAAUCUUCAAGGUUUGACCUUGACGAAUUGUAGUUUAAAGAAGUGUUUUCGGUUAGAGGAGUAGUAAAAGUUCCUUGGAAUAGGGACAUCAUAGAGGGUGAGAAUCCCGUAUUUGACUUAUUCUUUCUAGCUUUGUGAUACACUUUCAAAGAGUCGGAUUGUUUGGGAAUGCAGUCCAAAAUGGGUGGUAAAUUUCAUCUAAAGCUAACUAUUGGCGAGAGACCGAUAGCGAACAAGUACCGUGAGGGAAAGAUGAAAAGAACUUUGAAAAGAGAGUUAAACAGUACGUGAAAUUGUCAAAAGGGAGGCGUUUGACACCAGUGUUGUUUUUCCGAAAAUCAAUUAAAAAUUGAUUCAUGCCAGGUUGUAUUGACCUUAUCAGCUUGCAAUUUGGUUUUGGGUCUCUUUUUGAUGCACUUUUCGGUUAACAAGUCAACAUCAAUUUCCUUUGCUGUAAAAAGGUAAGAGGAAGGUGGCUUCAAUUUCGGUUGAAGUGUUUAUAGCCUUUUAUCUCUGCAGUCGGGGAGAUUGAGGUCUGCAGCGUAGAUCCUUCGGGGCUAGAUACAUUUAUGCUAAGUUAUAGCUUUUCAUAGACAACUUGUUGACUAUGUUUAGUCAUGUAGCUUACUCGUAAGUGCUAUUUUACCUACGCUUAGGAUGUUGAGCGCAUGUCUCUCUCU